rnacentral:rRNA from 1 species
UCUCCGUUGGUGAACCAGCGGAGGGAUCAUUACCGAGUUUACAACUCCCAAACCCAAUGUGAACGUUACCAAACUGUUGCCUCGGCGGGAUCUUCUGCCCCGGGUGCGUCGCAGCCCCGGACCAAGGCGCCCGCCGGAGGAAUCAACCAAAACUCUUAUUGUAUACCCCCUCGCGGGUUUUUUUAUAAUCUGAGCCUUCUCGGCGCCUCUCGUAGGCGUUUCGAAAAUGAAUCAAAACUUUCAACAACGGAUCUCUUGGUUCUGGCAUCGAUGAAGAACGCAGCGAAAUGCGAUAAGUAAUGUGAAUUGCAGAAUUCAGUGAAUCAUCGAAUCUUUGAACGCACAUUGCGCCCGCCAGUAUUCUGGCGGGCAUGCCUGUCCGAGCGUCAUUUCAACCCUCGAACCCCUCCGGGGGGUCGGCGUUGGGGAUCGGCCUUCCUUCACGGGGGCCGUCUCCGAAAUACAGUGGCGGUCUCGCCGCAGCCUCUCCUGCGCAGUAGUUUGCACACUCGCAUCGGGAGCGCGGCGCGUCCAUUGCCGUAAAACACCCAACUUUCUGAAAUGUUGACCUCGGAUCAGGUAGGAAUACCCGCUGAACUUAA